GGGGGGGGGGGGGGGAGGGGUGUGUGUGUGUGUGUGUGGGGACCGGGGGCAGAAUAAUGGCAAAAUAACGACAAAACUGUCGCAUGUGGGCGGCUGACUGUGUUGAGCGUAUCAACCCAUUAAUCAGCUUGUGCAUUUCAAAACCAAGAUGAAAACUAGGCAUGAGAAGCUUAGACAUUACAUGGGAGCGCAGUGAGUUCCGUAUUUUUAAGAAAAUGCAAUUUAAGUAUCCCAUCUAAGAACGUGCUUUUGAUAACAAGGAGAGGAAACCUGUCCCUGUAGUUGGACGACAAAAGCACCGCUUAGUGUAAUUUACCCCUCUUGUUUCCUGGCAAUGUUAGUAUGUAGAAGCAUAAAGCUUUUAAUACUGUAUUUUGGUUAAUUUUAGCAGGGCAUGAUACACUUCUGGAACUUUAAAGUGACUUUUCUAAUUACAUGACUGAACUAUGGUUAAAAACCACUCUCACACUGAGCAGCUGCUGUAGAGUGAGAAACUGCUGUCAYCUCCAUUUUGGAGGUGGAGGAACUGAGGCAGAGAAAGAAAAACUAAGUGAAUGAUAGAAAGGUUGGCUAAAAGUUUAUCUGAAAAAGGUUGAAUGUAGAUAUCUCCAGUCCCAGGCAAGUUCCCAGACAGUUAAAUAGCCCUUGCCUUCUUAUCACUUAUUUCUCUUAAAUAUUUUCCUGUUUUUAUUUGAAUAUCUUAAUGGCUUGAGGCAUUUAGAAAAAGGGGAGGGAGGGAGUGAAAGAGAAAAGGAAGACCCCAGAACACAUGUAAGAACUUGAUGUUGCAGUUUGUGUGACUAAAAAUCAAUCACGUUUUAAAUAAUUCUUUAAAUAAUUCCCUUCUAAUUCUUGAUAACAAAAAACAUUAUUGUUAUUAUUAUCCUUCCCUUGCUCUUGUGCGCCUGCACUCUCAUGUACUCUAAUUCUUUUCACCAGUACUACUGAAAAUUAUUUUAAAAUUUCAAACUUUAGUUCCCCAACUAAGUGAACUUAAGACUCCAAAGAAUUAGCUUUUCAAUUCUGCUGAGCUUAAUAUAUUCUUCUGAAAAAUGAGCUGUAUACAUCUGUAAAUAAACAAAUCUAGAAAAAGCUACCUGAAUGUCA
rnacentral:lncRNA from 1 species